rnacentral:lncRNA from 1 species
GUAGCUGACGACGCACCUGGACCCAGGUGUUUCCCAUGUAGCUGACGACGCACCUGGACCCAGGUGAUUUCCCAUGUAGCUGACGACGCACCUGGACCCAGGUGAUUCCCAUGUAGCUGACGACGCACCUGGACCCAGGUGUUUCCCAUGUAGCUGACGACGCACCUGGACCCAGGUGAUUCCCAUGUAGCUGACGACCCUCCCAACUCCGCCCACCGGCAUCCUAAUAAGGAAACAAGAGCAGAGAGAGAGAGAGAGAAUACAGCAGACAGAGAGGGAGGGUCGUCACGCAAGACAUCAGCCGAUACCGAUGUUUCCAUUUGGAGGUAAUAUCGUCCGCUAUGUUGACCG